AAAUUUGAUAGAAUUAUUUGAUAUUAAAGAUAUUCUGAGAUUAAUAAAUUCUAUACAAUUUGUAACUUUUGAUAAUAUUUAGAUAUUUAGAUAAUGUUCAUAUUGAAACUAUGGUACAGAUAGCAAAUUUCAUAUUGAUAUUUAUUCAAAUUUUUAAUACCAUGAUUAUAUUUGAAGAUAUGGACGAGCGAAAGUUUUUUCCAGACUUUUGUUAAACUUCGCAUUUGUGAAAGUGGAUCUCAAAUAUGUAUAUACAUGAUGGAAUUUAAAAUUUGUGAAGAUAGAUGUUUUGCAUAAAUCAUAACACAUGGGAAACUACUGAGUAGAAGAUAUUUUAAACAAUGUAAAUAUACAUAUUAUUGAUGAAUAUUCAGAAAUAUUUGUAAACUUUGAAGCGAUGCAUCUAAUUGCAUAUCUUUAGCUUUUCAUUCCUUGAUUAUCACGAGGCAGCAGUUAUUUGCAUACGUCGCAUAUCUUCGUUUCAGCGUUUCGAGAGAAACGAGAGGAUUAAUUUUUUAUGAAUUAUUAUUAAUAUCUUUGCAAUAUCAAUCUUAAUCGAGCAACUAUAGAAAUAUAUUAUAGUAGAAUAUGAUUAUUUAUAAGUCACAAUCAAUGCACUGAGAUGGUAAAUAAAAAUAAAAAGUAGAUACUAAUUUGGAUGAUAAUAAUGGACGAGAUCCAAUCUACAAUAUGUAAGAGUUAUUUUCAUUACGUUACAUCAUCCAAAUAACACCAUAAUUCGAAAGAUAAUUAAUAAAACGAUUAUCGGAUUGUGGUAGUAAUGGUUAAAGAGAUAACGAUGAAGAUUUUCUUGUGUAAUGGUAACUGGAUGCAUUCCUGCGUUAUCUAUGGAACGCAGUAUUCAAGUAUUGAGUCACAUAACAUGGUAUUGGCAUUUCGAUGCACAUAUGUGAUAUUGCAGUCUGUUGUCAAAAUGGCUCAUUUCGUAAUUAAUAAUAUGUUAAUGAGAAUAAUUUUUAUGAAAUUUUCAAAUUAUUAAUAAAUUAAAUUA